UACAGAGGUCUCAAGCGUUGUUCGGAUUCAUUGGGCGUAAAGGGUGCGUAGGUGGCGCCAUAAGUCAGGUGUGAAAUCUCGGGGCUUAACCCCGAAACUGCACUUGAUACUGUGGUGCUCGAGUACUGGAGAGGAGAUUGGAAUUUACGGUGUAGCAGUGAAAUGCGUAGAUAUCGUAAGGAAGACCAGUGGCGAAGGCGAAUCUCUGGACAGUUACUGACACUGAGGCACGAAGGCCAGGGAGCAAACGGG
rnacentral:rRNA from 1 species